rnacentral:rRNA from 1 species
UACAGAGGGUGCAAGCGUUAAUCGGAGUUACUGGGCGUAAAGGGCGCGUAGGCGGUUUAAUGAGUGUGAUGUGAAAGCCCCGGGCUUAACCUGGGAAGUGCAUCGCAAACGAUUGAACUGGAGUAUAUGAGAGGGUGGCGGAAUUUCCGGUGUAGCGGUGAAAUGCGUAGAGAUCGGAAGGAACGUCGAUGGCGAAGGCAGCCACCUGGCAUAAUACUGACGCUGAGGCGCGAAAGCGUGGGGAGCGAACAGG